rnacentral:tRNA from 1 species
GGACGCGUAGUUCAGUUGGUCAGAACACCGGACUUUUAAUCCGGGUGUCGCGGGUUCAAAUCCCGCCGCGUCCUCCA